ACAGACUCCUGACUGUAGCUGAAGGUUCAACGUGGGACUUCCAAGACAUCAGAGAGAUGAAGUGGGUUUUGUGCCUGCUGUCUGCAGGUCUUUUCCUGU